rnacentral:rRNA from 2 species
UACGAGAGGCCCAAACGUUAUUCGGAAUUACUGGGCUUAAAGAGUUCGUAGGCGGCGCAGAAAGUAGGGUGUGAAAGCCCUCGGCUUAACCGAGGAAUUGCGCUCUAAACUACUGUGCUUGAGGAACCUAGAGGUGAGCAGAACUGAUGGUGGAGCGGUGAAAUGCGUUGAUAUCAUCAGGAAUACCGGAGGCGAAGGCGGCUCACUGGGGGUUUUCUGACGCUGAGGAACGAAAGCCAGGGGAGCGAACGGG